rnacentral:rRNA from 1 species
UACGUAGGCAGCAAGCGUUUGUUCGGAGUUACUGGGCGUAAAGGGUGCGUAGGUGGCUCUAUAAGUAUGGUGUGAAAUCUCCCGGCUUAACUGGGAGGGUGCGCCGUAGACUGUGGGGCUAGAGUGUGGGAGAGGAAAGUGGAAUUCCUGGUGUAGCGGUGAAAUGCGUAGAUAUCAGGAGGAACACCGGUGGUGUAAACGGCUUUCUGGACCGAUAAACUG